GACGAACGCUGGCGGCGUGCUUAACACAUGCAAGUCGAACGGAAAGGCCCUGCUUGCAGGGUACUCGAGUGGCGAACGGGUGAGUAACACGUGGGUGAUCUGCCCUGCACUUCGGGAUAAGCCUGGGAAACUGGGUCUAGUACCGGAUAGGAGCCAUUUUUAGUGUGAUGGUUGGAAAGUUUUUUCGGUGUAGGAUGAGCUCGCGGCCUAUCAGCUUGUUGGUGGGGUAAUGGCCUACCAAGGCGGCGACGGGUAGCCGGCCUGAGAGGGUGGACGGCGACACUGGGACUGAGAUACGGCCCAGAUUCCUACGGGAGGGAGCAGUGGGGAAGAUUGACCAAUGGGCGCAAGCCUGAUGCAGCGACGCCGCGUGGGGGAUGACGGCCUUAGGGUUGUAAACUCCUUUCGCAAGGGACGAAGCUUUUUGUGACGGUACCUAGACAAGAAGCACCGGCUAACUACGUG
rnacentral:rRNA from 1 species